GUAAAGAUGCAAAAAUGGGAUCUAAAAUGGGUUCUCAACUUGGCAAAUAUGACAACUAAAUUUCAAUGAACCUGCAGAUUAUAAUCUAUUUAAAUCUGACUUUCUCAUUAAAGUUCACAAUUCAUCUUUCUUCUAUUUAAAUCUUACACCAUCUCAAAGAACAUUUUCAUUUUCUUUCUUGUAAAGGAAAGGCGGGGAGGAGUAAUCCUGGAGACUAUACUUUGUUGCUCUGUUAAAUAACCCUAAAAGUCCCACGUCUGCCACGAAGUAUUGUGAUUUAAAAUUGCAAGAAGGUCGUCAUCCAAUACCACUCGCAACCCAGUUAACUUGGGUAGGCAAGUCUCAUCAUUAUCCUACUAAGCUGCCAGAGCUCCGGUUAAUCUUCACAAAACCUAGUUCAGGUUUUAUUGGUACUUGCCAGAGGAUGGCUUCACUCCCUACUCCAAGUAUUUGGCAUAAUGUGAUGUGAAAUUAUGAAAGAUCGAUGCUCAAAACUCAAUAGUGGUGAUUGUUGGCACCCCAUCCAAGAAAUCCCACUCGUUGUAGUUGAUUGAGUUUGGAUUCAAUAAGAAGAUUUCUCUGCAAUGUCUA